CUCGGGGACGCCGCGGCGGCCGAGGUAGCGCGGGCCAGGGCGCUGCGGAGGCUCUCGCUGGUCCGCUGGAAGCCGCUCACCGACAUGGGCCUCGGAUGCGUCGCCGUCGGGUGCACGGAGCUGAAGGACCUCUCGCUCAAGUGGUGCCUUGGACUCACGGAUCUGGGGAUCCAGCUCCUCGCCCUCAAGUGCAGGAAGCUCACCAGCCUGGAUCUCUCCUACACCAUGAUCACAAAGGAUAGCUUGCCUUCUAUCAUGAAGCUACCCAAUCUUCAAGAGCUGACACUGGUGGGGUGUAUUGGAAUCGAUGAUGGUGCUCUUGUUAGUCUUGAGAGAGAAUGCAGUAAAUCACUACAGGUGCUUGAUAUGUCUCAGUGUCAGAAUAUCACCGAUGUAGGAGUUUCAUCCAUCCUGAAGUCGGUACCCAAUCUAUUGGAACUGGAUCUUUCAUACUGCUGUCCUGUUACUCCUUCUAUGGUGAGAAACUUCCAGAAGCUUCCUAAACUGCAGGCCCUGAAGCUGGAAGGCUGCAAAUUCAUG